rnacentral:rRNA from 1 species
UACGGGGGGGGCAAGCGUUGUUCGGAAUUACUGGGCGUAAAGGGCUCGUAGGCGGCCAACUAAGUCAGACGUGAAAUCCCUCGGCUUAACCGGGGAACUGCGUCUGAUACUGGAUGGCUUGAGUUCGGGAGAGGGAUGCGGAAUUCCAGGUGUAGCGGUGAAAUUCGUAGAUAUUCGCAAGAACACCGGUGGCGAAGGCGGCCAACUGGUCCGGAUCUGACGCUGAGGCGCGAAAGCGUGGGGAGCAAACAGG